UUCCCGGAAGAUCAUGAGUCAUUUUUUUUGUCGCCCAGUAAACACGAAAACACGAGUUCAAGGCGUGCCGCUGUUUUUUACUCGAUCUUGGGUAGUUGAAAGUCCUUUCUACGGGGCCUACAGCAAGUUCGUGGAUUUGAUAAAGCAUUUUUACUUUUGUUUGUGUGCGCCUCAAAGUAGCACAUCGGCCACGUUAUUUGAAGUGUUAAUUUAAAUUUACCUGCGAAGUCCUGCGUCAAGAGAGAAUUGCAAAGGACGAUCACUGGAGUCUGGCGUCGUCACGGACACGUUAAAUCGAAGGCGCAGUUCCGGUUUGAAGUGUCCGCGGAGUUGGCUCGUUUAAAGUCCAGUUGCCUUUUGUUUUCAAUCUGCGAAGGAACAUGAAGCGUCGGGUGUCAUUUUGUCUUUGUUUGUGGUCACUUAUUGGCUCCGCCGUCGGCGAGAUCGUGAACGUAUACGUCGCCGAGGGCCAAACGCUGACUCUGCGGCCCAAGUUUAAAGACCCCGUCGAGAGCGUGGAAUGGCAGCGGAACCGCAACCUUCUCGCCGAGUGGGCCGGAAAUGAAGUGACCCGCUACGACAACCGAAUCGCCUUGAACGUGAGCAACGCAGUGCUGGAGCUUGUGGGCGUGGUCGCGACGGACGCGGGCACCUUCACGGUGUCUUUGAACAACGUGAUGCAGGACGAAGUCUUCGCGGUCAAGGUGAUCAAGUUCGUGCCGGAACCGGAAGUGCACCCGACCCCGCUCGCGUGCUCCGAAAACUUGGAGACUUGCACGCUCCACUGCGGCGGGGACACGAGUGGCGCGGAGCCUGUCACGUACAUUUGGAGAACUGAACCCGAAACGGAAAUGCCGGAAGUACGCAACAGGACCAUCGACCGAAAGACUUCCGCGGUCAAGAGUUUCUUUUGCAUCAUGCAGAAUCCCUUGGGCCGGAAGGAGAGCCAAGCCUUUGCCAACCCCUUCUAUCAGGACCGACCGGGGGGCGGCUUGGGACCAGGCGGGAUCGCGGGAGUCGUCUCGGGCACGCUCGGGGCCUUGUGCGGUGUGGUGGUGGCUGCCUGGUUUUGCAGCAAGCGUCAAAGAGGCUUGGCGUUAAGACCAUCCAAUGGAGCCACGGGGGGAACAAACUUGGAAACGUCACGACCGCUGAACAGCAACAAUUGACCGGCGAGGUUGCCAGGUGACACGCUGACUGUUACUCCGGUCGUGAAAUCGAAGCUCAGUCGCCUCAGAGAUGUUUGAGGAUGUCACUAUCGACAGAUUGAGUUCCAGCCAGCAGCGGCACUGUUGAUUCGAACUGAAGACGGAGAGCAUUCAUUGCUGCUGAUUAUUUGUGAAAUUAUCAUUUAGUAGGUUCAAAUCAUUUGACAGACGCAACAUUAGUACAUAGCUUGAGUUAGGACAGAGAGAAAUUUAAACUGCAAUCAAUGACCCUAGUUCACUUGUGACCCCCAAAAAGUCCAAAUGAAAAUGCAGUUUUGAAAUCAGUUUGAAUCCAGUAUCAGUUGGCAUGAAGUUGAAAAUAAUCCGACUUUGAGUUGAAGUGAAAGCAGCUUAGCUACACUGGCUUUUAUCGAGCAUUUAAUGCUUCUGUUUGUGAAUCAACGCUCGCUCAGUUUAAGUUUUGGGGGAGAUCAAAUGUUUGUUCCAAUUCAUCCCUGUUACAUGGACGUCACACGCGUGCCAAAGCAUUGCCUUCUCAAGUGAAGCAUUCAUUUGAGUGCAAACCUCCACCAAGGCCCCAAAUCCAAAUUUGGAUCUGCCCAAUGCCCUUUAUGUCUUAAUAUAUUUGGCAUGAGCAUUUUUCUUUUGUUCCAGGCGAAAUGAAGGAGGGAAAAAAAUAUGAGAAUGUGAACACCCAAAAUCUUGGAUCUGCGUGGAGUUAAUGGAUGAGAUGUGCCUACACUAGCUUUCUCUCCAAAUGAUAUUUAAUAUUUUAGCGCAUCCUCAGCAAAUGCAUAACCCUGAUAAACACUUUUAAUGCGUCAAUUCAGCAUAUCUUGAGAAUUGCAGAAGGGUCGCCUCCGUUGGUUUCCUCUUAUCUGAUCGUCAACUGUAGGCUCCUUGGGGCCAUGCAGAGUUGAGCACGGUUCUCCUGUUUCACAACCCCUCCACACAACAACACUCGCACAAUAAUACAAAUGCAGAAUUAAACAUAAUAAGUCAUAUUGAAAUCAACCGUUUCCAAAAUUGACUCCAUCACUUUGUCAUGACAACAAAAAUCAAACCCAUUGAUUGAAAUCGCGGUAAAAGUAGACAUGUACUAGGACUGGGCCAUCAAUGGAGUUUUUAUGAUCAAACUGUUUUUUUUUU